rnacentral:lncRNA from 1 species
GGAGGGGGGGGUCCAUUCCUGCAUUGCAAUGUGAAGUGUUCCUGAAUAAACCUGCUUGAAGAAGGACAACGUGGUGUUGCGUCUUUCCUGCUGGUCAGGGUGGAUGCAACAAGUGAUGGCCCAUACAGGGACUUCUGCUUCACGAGAGCGCUGCAGGUCCAGAACUUCAAGAGGUCAGGGUAGUCGGCUGGAAAGCUCCCAGGACUGCCGCCAGCCAUUGUGGGUACAUGAACGACUGACUCAAGUGCUGAAGGAUGACCAGAGCUACCCUUUUACCUGAUGAUGAAGGAGUGACACGGUGAUGAUUGAGCCUCUCCAGCUUGCCCUGCGAGGGGUAUUAUGCUUUCAGCUUAUUGUAAAUAUUUCUCAAGAUAGUGUGUGUAUGCAAUUGUAUAAUCAGACUGCUGCAUGGUUGGAUAGACCUUUUAAUAGUUCAACCCGAGCUAAUGCUACUUGGAUCAGAGGAACUUGGCCUGUGAGCAUACCCAAGGGCAAUGCUAGCAUUCCACCCCAACCACGCUGGACCCCAUUUUGCAGAGGCGUACGAGACUCUUUGCCUCCGUGGACUGGAUGUCAAUCCCGGAAGGCUGCUUGGGUAGUGAAAAAGUAUUUUACCUUUUCUCCAUACAUCAGUACCAUGCAUGAUUAAACAUUUGCAGGUUAUAAUUGGACAUAUCAAAGCCCAACACAGCAAGGGGCUAAUAAUCCUUUUAAUGUAUGGUUGUUAUGUGGGGUAAAUGGAAGCUGUACUGAUUUGUCACCUCUAAGUAUACUGAUGGGAGGGGCCUGGGGAAAUGCUAGUUGUUAUUGGAAUGGGUCUGAUUUGUUUGAAAAUUCUGUGAGUGUUUUGGCUUCAAGAAUCAUAGUAGUGAUAAUUGCUUUUAUAGUAUGUAUUGGAAUGCAUCUGUAUUUUCUUUGGCUGUGGUAACUGUAUGCCUAGAUUUGUACCCUGGCCAGUGCAAGCUCCAUCUGAGAUGACACUGUUUAGACCUAAAAGAGAUUUUGAGAUUACUGCUGCCAUAGUCACAGCAAUAUCACACCUCAAGGAAUGGGCUGGCAUAGGAGGGCUGGCAAUCAUCUGCGUUGCCACAGGAGUAAUGGCCCUAUGGUGCAUUUGUCGUAUGCAAAAAAAAAGGCAUACCCAUGAGCAGGCACUGUUGAUUCAGGCUUUUGCAGCCCCAGAGCUGGGGCAAUCUUCUCAAGUGUGGCUUGGCAUGCUAGAGAAGUAGUCAAUAAUGGGUAAGACUCCCUGGAGGUGUGACUAACCUAAGACAGGGACCAGACCACUGCUGUCUGUCCUCCCGAUGAUGGGUAAGGAGCAUUAUCACAGGGGGCAACCUAAGACAGGCAUUCUCACUGCCAAAAUAAUAAAUAAGGGGGAGAUGUGAGGAGUGGGUGCGACCGCCACCCGAAGAUGGCACCCAGGACUGCUGCCAGGUCUUACGACCUGCGCCUGACCCUUAUUACCUCAGACUUAGCCACAUCCCAACCGCCUGCACUGUGCAGACGCCAUGCCUCGUCAGCUCACCUGAGGUGUCGUCACUUGCUGUGAACCAAUGGACUGCCAUUAUGUGACUGGGGUGAUUGGGAGGAGUCAGUAGGGUAUUUAAGGCGCCCCCAGGGUUGCGGGGGGGGGGGAUUCCCGUUCCUGCAUUGCAAUGUGAAGUGUUCCUAAAUAAACCUGCUUGAAGAAGGACAA